rnacentral:lncRNA from 1 species
ACAUAGCUACAAAAUGAGAUCGACAUGGGAUUCCUUUUGACUCACCCCAGUUGUGACUGCAACAUGGCUAAAGGUAGGGAGAGUUUAAAAAUCUAUCGCCAGGUUCUGAUCUCCAAGGUGCCUCAAGAUGGGCCCACUAAUUUGGCUAAGGUAAGGGGUAAUGCAGGGGUGGAUCGAACCUCCUUCAAUGUUCCUUGAAAGGCUUAUGGAAGCCUUCAGGCGGUUCACUCCCUUUGAUCUUACCUUGAAAGCCCAGAAGGCCUCAGUGGCCAUGGCCUUUCAUAAGGCAGUCAACUCCAGAUAUCAGAAAGAAACUUCAGAGAUUAGAAGGUGUAUUAUAAGAGGGAGACAGUUACUCGAUCUAGUAAAAGAGGCAGAAAAAGUGUGUGUGAGAGAGAGAGAAAAGCGAGAGGCAAAAGAAAGAGAAAACAGGAGGGAUCGUAGACAAGAAAGAAAUUUGCCACAGUGGUAGGAGAAAAAAAAAAAAAAAAAAGACAGGAUCUAGACAGGAAACCUGGGCAACUGAAGACCAAGCCUCAGCUAAAGAGGCUCAGCUGUGUCAGACUGAAGUUACUUAUUUGGGAUACACCCUUUGAGACAGGAAGCAGUGCCUAAAGAAAGCCAGAAAAAAGACUGUAACUUAGAUCCCCACCCCAACUACACCAAGGCAAGUAAAAAAUUUUUGGGUACCGCUGGCUUCUACAGACUCUAGACACCUGGGUUGGCGACCUUCUGGUGGUUUUCUUGCCUGAUGGAUGAUGACAACACUCCUGUGAUACAUCAGAACUUUUUGUUGACUGAACGAGUAGCCUUCGCUUCAUUCCACCUGCUGUCCCACUGUGUGAGACUACACCUACUCAUCACUGCGCUGAGAAACUGGUACUUAAAAUGAUCCGAAGCAUCAGAUCAGCCUUGGCCUGAGAGUUCGAACUGGUACACUGAUGGCAGUAGCCUCGCGGUUAAAGGUAAGCAGAAGGCAGGGACAGCAGUAAGGUGGUGAACAGAAAACAAGUGAUCUAGACAAGCUCUAUAAAUGGCAAAAGAAAAGUCUACACUGACAGCAGCUCAAGGUGCUCCAGUGAGUGAGACAGCGAGCAAAGAAGCAGCUCCAGAAGGCCUACUCAAGAGAAGACCUGCUAGACGUCUCCACGCAGAAAACCUUGAGACUCCGGUGGAAAGGCCCUUAUCUUGUACUCUUAACCACCCUACUUUCUACCUUUAUGAGACCCCUUUUGAUUUUGCUUCUGCUUUUAAUUAUAGGUCCAUGUGUGUUAAAUAGACAAGUCACCUUUAUUAAGACAAGAAUUAGUGCAGUGCGGCUUUUAGCUUUGAGACAACAGUACCAUGCCCUAAAGAAUCAAAUAUGUCAGGGAAAAGAUAGUGUCUAGUUCUAAGAUUAGAACUACUAACAAGUAGAAGUGGGGAAUGAAAGUAUAACAAAGUAAAAAGAGAAUUCUAGGCCUUUAGGCCCAGUCUUGGGAAUGUGGCCUUUGUAAAGGUAUGCUAAUCAUAAAACAGAUAGCGACAUUCCUCUACCCACCCGCUUCCUGGGUUCAAAGAGUGCUCAUUCAAAAAAAGUCAUCCUGACCAUUGCUGGAACCCGCUAUGCAAAUGUGCUUUUGUUAGGGGCUCUUAGAAACUGUUUUGAGAAAUAACCCUCACAAUUACCAGGUAUUCCUCAUGACUCUUGUAACUUUGCACUUCCUUGUGACUCUUAACUAGUAUUUUUGGUAUUUUCCAACAACGCCCUUCCCACCUCCUUGAGUUGUGGUUUCUUCCUUUAAAUACCCCCUUACUCAGCUACUCGGGGCGCCAUGGUCCUCUACCCCUG